UCACCCAGACCUGGUGACUGU
rnacentral:miRNA from 1 species